GGUGAGUACACGUAUUUAAUCUACCAUUUAGUGGGGAAUAACUGUUGGAAACGACAGCUAAUACCGCAUAAUAUUAUUGUAUGAUUUACAAUAAUGAAAGGAGCCUCAAAGCUUCGCUAAUUGAUGAGAAUGCGCCGCAUUAGCUAGUUGGUAGGGGAAUAGCCUACCAGGGCGACGAUGCGUAGCCGGUCUGAGAGGAUGAACGGCCAGAUUGGGGCUGAGACACGGCCCAGACUUCUACGGAAGGCAGCAGUAGGGAAUUUUUCACAAUGGGCGAAAGCCUGAUGGAUCAAUGCCGCGUGACUGAUGAAGGUCUUCGGAUUGUAAAGGUCUGCUG
rnacentral:rRNA from 1 species